rnacentral:rRNA from 1 species
UACGUAGGGUGCUAGCGUUGCUCGGAAUCACUGGGCGUAAAGGGCGCGUAGGCGGAUCUUUAAGUCGGGGGUGAAAUCCUGGAGCUCAACUCCAGAACUGCCUUCGAUACUGGCGACCUUGAGUCCGGGAGAGGUGAGUGGAACUCCGAGUGUAGAGGUGAAAUUCGUAGAUAUUCGGAAGAACACCAGUGGCGAAGGCGGCUCACUGGCCCGGUACUGACGCUGAGGCACGAAAGCGUGGGGAGCAAACAGG